rnacentral:rRNA from 1 species
GACGAACGCUGGCGGCGCGCUUAACACAUGCAAGUCGAGCGAGAACCAAGCCUUCGGGCUUGGGGACAGCGGCGAACGGGUGAGUAACACGUGGGUAAUCAACCCUCGACAUUGGGAUAGCCCGGGGAAACCCGGAUUAAUACCGGAUACCCCAUCUGGCCUUCGGGCCGGCUGGAAAAGGUAGCUUCGGCCUCCGGUCGGGGACGAGCCCGCGGCGGAUUAGCUUGUUGGUGGGGUAAAGGCCUACCAAGGCUACGAUGGGUAGCUGGUCUGAGAGGACGAUCAGCCACACUGGAACUGAGACACGGUCCAGACUCCUACGGGAGGCAGCAGUGGGGAAUCUUGCACAAUGGGCGAAAGCCUGAUGCAGCAACGCCGCGUGAGUGAAGAAGGCCUUUGGGUUGUAAAGCUCUUUCGGUUGGGAAGAAGGGGAUGUGAGCUAAUACCUCAUAUUUUUGACGGUACCAGCAUAAGAAGCACCGGCUAAUUCCGUGCCAGCCGCCGCAGUAAGAC